CUGUGGUAAUUCUAGAGCUAAUAGCUGGCUUAAAAUCUCGACCUUUUGGAAGAGAUGUAUUUAUUAGAUAAAAAAUCAAUGUCUUCGGACUUCUUGAUGAUUCAUAAUAACUUUUCGAAUCGCAUGGCAUUUUGCUGGCGAUGGUUCAUUCAAAUUUCUGCCCUAUCAACUUUCGAUGGUAGGAUAGUGGCCUACCAUGGUUUCAACGGGUAACGGGGAAUAAGGGUUCGAUUCCGGAGAGGGAGCCUGAGAAACGGCUACCACAUCCAAGGAAGGCAGCAGGCGCGCAAAUUACCCAAUCCUAAUUCAGGGAGGUAGUGACAAUAAAUAACGAUACAGGGCCCUUUGGGUCUUGUAAUUGGAAUGAGUACAAUGUAAAUACCUUAACGAGGAACAAUUGGAGGGCAAGUCUGGUGCCAGCAGCCGCGGUAAUUCCAGCUCCAAUAGCGUAUAUUAAAGUUGUUGCAGUUAAAAAGCUCGUAGUUGAACUUUGGGCACGGAGGGCCGGUCCGAUUAUUUCGAGAACUGGAUACCUUUGUGCCUUUCCUUCUGGGGAACCUAUGCUCCUUGUGGGUGUAGGGGGUCCAGGAUUUUUACUUUGAAAAAAUUAGAGUGUUCAAAGCAGGCGUAUUGCUCGAAUAUAUUAGCAUGGAAUAAUAGAAUAGGACGUUUGGUUCUAUUUUGUUGGUUUCUAGGACCAUCGUAAUGAUUAAUAGGGACGGUCGGGGGCAUCAGUAUUCAAUUGUCAGAGGUGAAAUUCUUGGAUUUAUUGAAGACUAACUAC
rnacentral:rRNA from 1 species